rnacentral:rRNA from 1 species
CCUGGCUCAGAUUGAACGCCGGCGGGAUGCUUUACACAUGCAAGUCGAACGGCAGUACGGACUUCGGCCUGGUGGCGAGGGCGAACGGGUGAGUAAUGUAUCGGAACGUGCCUAGUAGCGGGGGAGACCAAGGCGAAAGCGUAGCUAAUACCGCACGCCCUUCGGGGGAAAGUGGGGACCUUCGGGCCUCGCACUAUUAGAGCGGUCAAUGGAUUAGCUAUUGGUGGGGUAACGGUCACCGAUGCUGACGAUCCGUAGCUGGUUUGAGAGGACGACCAGCCACACUGACUUUCGAGACAUGCCCAGACCCUACGGGAGGCAGCAGUGGGGCCUUGGAUAAUGGGGAACCCUGAUCCAGCCAUCUCAAGCGCAAAAGAUGAAGGUUUUCGGUUGUAAAGCACUUUUGGCAGGAAGAAACGGCACGGGAUAAUACCUCGCGCAACUGACGGGGUACCUGCAGAAUACACCGUAGGCUAACUACAAAGCCAGCAGCCGCGGUAAUACGUAGGGUGCAAGCGUUAAUCGGAAUUACUGGGCGUAAAGCGUGCGCAGGCGGUUCCCGAGCUAAGAUGUGAAAUCCCAGAGCUAACUUUUGAACUGCAUUUUUAACUACCGAGCUAGAGUGUGUCAGAGGGAGGUGGAAUUCCGCGUAGCAGUGAAAUGCGUAGAUAUGCGAGGAACACCGAUGGCGAAGGCAGCCCUGGGAUAACACUGACGCUCAUGCACGAGCGUGGGGAGCAAACAGGAUUAGAUACCCUGGUAGUCCACGCCCUAAACGAUGUCAACUAGCUGCUGGGGCUUCUUUCGGGCCUUGCAGCGCAGCCAACGCGGGUUGGCCGCCUGGGGAGUACGGUCGCAGAUUAAAACUCAAAGGAAUUGACGGGGACCCGCACAAGCGGUGGAUGAUGUGAUUAAUUCGAUGCAAACGCGAAAACUCCACUUACCUUUGACAUGUCUGGAAUCCCGAAGAGAUUUGGGACAAGGCUUCGCAAGAGAAUCGGAACACAGGUGCUGCAUGGUUGUCGUCAGCCUGUAUCGUGAGAUGUUGGGUUAAGUCCCAACGAGCGCAACCCUUGUCAUUAGUUGCUACGAAAGGGCACUCUAUCGAGACUGCCGGUGACAAACCGAGGAAGGUGGGGAUGACGUCAAGUCCUCAUGGCCCUUAUGGGUAGGGCUUCAACACGUCAUACAAUGUGGUCGGGACAGAGGGUCGCCAACCCGCGAGGGGGAGCCAAUCCCAGAAACCCGAUCGUAGUCCGGAUCGCAGUCUGCAACUCGACUGCGUGAAGUCGGACCGCCAUAGUAAUCGCGGACCAGGCAAGCAUGUCGCGGUGAAUACGUUCCCGGGUCUUGCAUACACCGCCCGUCACACCAUGGGAGUGGGCUUUACCAGAAGUAGUUAGCCUAACCGUAAGGAGGGCGAUUACCACGGUAGGAUUCAUGACUGGGGUGAAGUCGUAACAAGGUAG